rnacentral:tRNA from 1 species
GGGGCUAUAGUUCAGUGGUAGAGCACGUGCUUGGGUUACACAAGGUCCUGGGUUCAAUCCUCAGUGCCUCUG